ensembl:lncRNA
CACUGACUUCACAACUAAAUACUUGCUAUUUGAUAUGGGUUCAGAAAUGUUCAACAAUCAACAAGGCAAUCGCAGUCCAGACUGUUCUCAUUUGGGCUUUCUUGAUGGUGGGAAUGAGCUACAAAAUGCUAUCAGAGCAGGGGCAUCCUUCUCCAUCAAAAAUCUCUUUAAGACUCAUCUCUUCCGAGAACACCCCUAACAUUUUUGGACUUACCGUGCACUUCUUCUAUUUGCUCUUGAGUUGUUCCUCAACUGUAAGUCAUUUUGGGUAAAAGUGUUUACCAGAUGAAUUCAUGUCAAUGUAAUGUAAUGAACUGGUAUAUAGUUAUAAAGUGACACAAAGAAAAACCUCAGACAAGGUAAAUUGAUUAUCUCACACUUUAUUGAACUGAUAAUUCAAAAAUAUGGUCACUGGCACAGCUAUAGAUGACAAAGCAAAGACUUCCUGCAUGUGACCCUUCACCCAGUUAUCAAAUCACAGAGGGCAAGUGAGUGAGUGUGUGUGUGUGUGUGUGUGUGUCUGUGCGCACGCGUGUGUGUGUGUGUGUGUGUGUGUGUGUGUGUCUGUGUGUGUGAGACAGGGAUGUGAUCUCUGAGAAGUUGAUCUGUCUCACCUCUUGAGCCUCUUGGCAGACUGCACCAGGUAAGCAGGUAGAGUCUAUGAGGAUACUCAAGGACACACUAUCACAUGCUAAUAGCUACAUAAUACAUACAUGUACACAUAGCUUACAGUUUAAACAAUAUACACAAAUUCAGUUUAAAAUAGAAAAGAACAUAAAUGCAAACUGGGGUCUAGCACACAGACACCAUGGGAACCUUUGCCAAGACAGGCUUCUUGAGCCGAGAGGACCCUCUGCAAUCUUUUAAUGUACUUGGAGCCAGAUUGCCUGCCGCCUAGAGCCGAUCAGGUAGUCCACCUUAGCGCAUGACCGCAGAAAACCCCACGCAGGGGUCAGAGUGUGGCCUUUGGAGAGCAGCUCUGUUACAUGAGCAAAGUAGGAUGUCUUACAGAGAGAAGAUCUAAGAGGGGUGUAAUCCUGUAGACAUUGUGUGUGAGUAUAUGGACAUGUUUGUGUGUGUGGGGGGGGGGGGGGGGGGAGAGAAGAGAAAGGGAAAAAAGGAAGAAUAAAGAAACAAAGAAAGGGCGAGCUAAAUGAUUUUAAGAGAUCAUUUGUGCAUCUUUUCUUUGGAGAAAAGAUUCUUUGACUACACUGUACUCGUGGCUAGUACUCACACCUACAGAACUACUUUGUCCAUUCAAUGUCCAGUCAAUUUAAGUCAAAGUCUGGCUCUUUCCUUGACUGGGUUCCAGCGGGGCAUCUGGUAUCUAGCGAGAACAUUCCCUACCUUUGUGUUCAUCUGGCUUGGCACUUUCCAGCAGGCCACUUUUUCAUAUCCUGUUUUCGGCGCCGGCUUUUGCCCUUGAAGUGCGAUUUACGACGCGUUCGAGGGCCGGUCGGCCUCUGUGGCAUGAACGUGUGUGUGUGCGCGUGUGUGUGUGUGCGAGCGCGCCGAACUAUGACGGCUGUUUCAGGGGCACACGGCACAUUCAGCCUGAACAAACAAAACUCCACAACAACAACAAAAAAACAACAAAGGCAUUCAGACCACAAGGCAGGAGAACAAAACAAAAAAAUUAAAUAAAACAAUGAAAAUUACAAAAAAGAGAAUUUGGGCUUUGGUUCCAUGUCCAGCCAGUGUUUUUCAUCGACUUUCUGGCAGAACGCUGUGACUUAACUAAUAAACAGAAACACAUGUCACAGUCACUGUCUGAGGCCCAGGGGGACAGAGGGGGGAGGAAGAGGAAGAGAGCUAGUGAAGGAGUCGCCUAAUCCUCGUCUCUUCCUCCAUGAGCCAGAGAAGAGAGACGAGGCGAAAGGAGAGCAGAGAGGGGGAGGGACAGAGAGAGCUAGAGAGAGAGAGAGAGAGAGACAGAGAGGGAGGGAGCGAGAGAGAGAGCGAGCAAGCGAGCGAGCGAGCGACAGAGAGAGAGGGAAGGAGACAGAGAUGUAUGGAGGCUGCCGGUUCCUGUUUGCAUUGUAAAAGCAUCAUGCAGCCCCCUGCCCUACUCCGCGCCCAAAUAAGGGCAGGGUGGGAGGACGUGACCAGGGUGUGGAAUGUGGCUGAGUCAGCACGGGCCCUGCCCAGUUGCCUUUGUUUAUGCCCGAGCAAAAAUGCUCAGCCAGUUAGAGAGAUGGCCAGGCCAGCGUGAGUGAGGAGGGCAGGGUGGGUAGAGGAGAGAGAGAGAGAGAGAGAGAGAGAGAGAGAGAGAGAGAGAGAGAGAGAGAGGGGUGGGUGGGAGAGAUGGAUGGGUUGUGUCUGAUGUCAGGUCUGAUCGAGGCUCAGCGAGCAGAGAGCAGCCCUACUCUUCAGCUGCAGCUCCAUUUCCCCCAAGGCCUGGAGCCUCUCACUCCUCCAGCUCUCUGCAGCAGAGUGGGGCACCGGGGGCACUGGUGGUGGUGGUGGGGGGGUUGGAGUGGGAGGGGAGGGUGUGCAGGGAAAGAGCCAACCACAACAGUUCUUCAGCUGGCAGCUUUAGCUGGUACACAAGAACAUAAAGCUUGCCAGUGAAGAACUGCUGCGGGUCAGCCAGUGAGCACGGCCUUCCCCGGGCGACUCCAUCAUGGCCCACUCCCUGUUCUACCCCGGGCGACGCCAUCAUGGGCCACUCCCUGUCCUCUCCCGGCUACCGCUGCUGGACAGACUUACCCCUGCAGGUGGACAAGGGGAAAGGAGGGAGGGAGGGAGGGAGGGAGACAAGAAAGCGAAACACGAGUUACGACAAUGGGGCAUCAUCAUGGCUGCUUCUAAGCAGUAGUGAGAGCUAGGAGACGGCAUCAGGAAGUGCUCUGGAUUCUGUUCUUUUUUCUCUCUCAAUCCUCCCCCCUUUCACAAACACACAUACACACAUUUUGAAACUCAGUCUCUGCGGCCAUGCAGUCAGUGAGCAUUGGGUCCUAACACUCCGGCCCACUGAAACACCCCCAGAGCAGCAGAGCGCCCAUGUGACCCGCCCUGCCUCCUGGGCCCGUCCCCAGCACCAAAAUGAUAGUGGAGGCGACGGAGGACAGCCAUUGAAUGAGCAACCCCAGCUCACCCAGGUCAGCGUGUACUUAUCUCCCACCCAGAGCCACAGGCCUGUCUGGAUUUAUGGCGCUCUACUGUAGCAUUAGCCAGACAAAGGUUAGAUUGACUUUGGGGCUGAGCCUGUGUGUGUGUGACAGUGUGAGUGUGUGUGCGAUUGAGAUUCCAGUGGUGCUGGAGCUUCAUAUGAGAGAAAGAACAGACACAGGGCUUGGGCCCACCUGGUGAGACCUCAACAUCUCCCCCCCCACACA